rnacentral:rRNA from 1 species
AUUGAACGCUGGCGGCAGGCCUAACACAUGCAAGUCGAACGAGCGGCGGACGGGUGAGUAAUGUCUGGGAAACUGCCUGCUGGAGGGGGAUAACUACUGAAAACGGUAGCUAAUACCGCAUACCAUCAGUUGUGCCCAGAUGGGCUUAGCGAGUGGUUGGGGAAAGGGCUCACCUAGGCGACGAUCCCUAGCUGGUCUGAGAGGAUGACCAGACACACGGGAAUGGGGACACGGUCCAGAUCCUUAGGGGAGGCAGAAGUGGGGAAUAUUGGACAAUGGGUGCAAGCCUACUGCAGCCAGGCCGGGUGGGUGAAGAAGGCCUUCGGGUUGAAAAGUACUUUCAGCGAGGAGGCGUUACUCGCAGAGGAAGCACCGGCUAACUCCGUGCCAGCCGCCGCGGUAAUUC